CAACCGGAUUUUCUAAAAUCCACCCAACUAUCAAAGCUUGCUGACA
rfam:Thalassiosira oceanica strain CCMP1005 To_g38798, whole genome shotgun sequence.